GUCAAGGGAGGUCACAUGGCUUCUCUCCGGCAGGUGAGGGAGAUGCGGGCUCAAACACCUGCUGGACUCCACGCAGCACUUUCCAUGUAAAUGACCCGUCCCAGCUCUUCCCUCCCCACUCCCACACCUGCUCCCGGCAGACUCACUUGGGACUCGGGGACACGGCCGCCCACGGACACCUCCACUGGGGAUCCUGAGUGGUUCUGGCACCGGUCAUGGGAUGGAGGAGGGUCUUGGUGGUCGGCGGUUUGCUGCUGCUUCAAUGCGGGGAUGGACGCAGGAUGCCGCCGCCGCCGCCGUCGACGACGACUCAUGGCGGGGCUCGGUUGGACGCGGCGCGGAGUCACGUCCGGAGGGACGCCGGCACUUCCAGGGCUCCCAGCGGGGCUUCCUUCGACUCUUGCCGGGUCAACCUGACGCCUGCGGAGCAUGAAGUUCUGGAUGACAAUACACAUGAGACUGGUUUUAAUGGUGACGAUGGCUCUUACGUCAUCCUCACAUGGGUGGGCGAUGGCACAGGGGUCAUCCUGGUGUUGUCCACCAUCAACACCCCCUUAGACACGUUCCUGGAAGGCGGUUCAUCUCGACUGUACAGAAGUACGGAUUACGGAAAGUCCUUCCAUGACAUCUCUCAAAGCAUCAACCACACCUUCAUCAAAGAGGAGUUUGGCGUCAGCGUGGGGCCGGGAAGUUCUGUGAUACUGACAGCAGACACCCCAGUGGUGGACCACCCAGGAGGCAUCAUCUUCACCUCCACUGACGCCGGCGCCACCUUCCGCUUCACCCAGCUUCCCUUCCACCUGGCGCAGCCCAUCACCUACCACUUCCUCAACCCGGACUACCUGGUGGCGCUCAGCAUCGACGGCGGUCUGUGGCUCUCUGUGGACUUUGGCGCCAAGUGGACCAAAGUGCAUGAUGGAGUGCAUUCUUUCUCAUGGGGUGCUGGCAUCAAUUUGUUCUUCAGCUGCAGUAAAGCAGACACAAUGGAUGCAGAGGAGCGAGGAGACUUACAGCUAAAGAGGACAAAGGACCUGGGGAAGACCUUCACCAUAAUCCACGAGGACGUCUUCAGUUUUGGAUACAUCGGAGCCUUUCUUUUCUUCUCGGUCAUGGAAGACACGCGAUCGCCCAGAGUCAUGUAUUUUUCCUCCGACCAAGGAGACACUUUUAGUCAAGCGCUACUGCCUUCUGCCUCCACUGAGCAGUUUUACUCCAUCUUGGACGGCGAUGAGGACAUGCUGUUCAUGCAUGUGGACAAUCCAGGAGACACCUACUUUGGAACCAUGUACACGUCGGACGACCGCGGCAUCCUGUUCUCCAAAUCCCUGGAGCGCCACCUGUUUGAUGGGCAGAGGAAGAGCGAUUUCCGGAAUGUCACGUCGCUGCGAGGAGUCUACCUCACCAACAGACUGGACAAAGACGGACGAAUACGAUCGGUCAUCUCCUUCAAUCGCGGCGGAGCAUGGCAGCAGCUUUCCAAACCUCAGAAUGUCGAAUGUGGGCAAGAAGUCAAGAACUGCAAGCUGCAUAUUCAUGGAGAACACAGUCGCAUCAAUCACAUCGUUCCCAUGCUCCUCAUGUCGGAGCCCACCGCCAUCGGUCUGGUCAUCGCCCACGGUACCGUGGGGGAUUGCCUGUCGUCCUCGCAGCACCCGGAUGUGUUUGUGUCGUCAGACGGGGGCUACAGCUGGCGGGGGACUUUAAGGGGUCCUCAUCACUACAGCAUUCUGGACUCUGGCGGUCUGGUGGUGGCUGUGGAGGCUCGGCGUGAAGGACAAGUCAAGACCAUCAAGUUCUCCACAGACGAGGGUCAGUGCUGGAAGUCGUACAAUUUCACCGAGCAGCCCUUCUUCUUCGCGGGCCUGUCGUCCGAGCCGGGCACCAAGGCCCUGAGCGUCAGCGUGUGGGGCUUCCGUCCCGAAGACGACGGCCAGCCCAUGUGGGUUGCCGUAACCAUCGACUUCCAGAGCCUCGUCACGAGAGAGUGCGAUGAGCGGGAUUACGAAGACUGGUUGGCUCAUGCGACACAGGGAGGAGCUUCAAGGAGCGACGGCUGCGUCCUGGGCAUCAAGGAGACGUACAAGAAACGGAAGAAAGAAUCAGUUUGCAGGAAUGGUCGCGCUUUUGUCUUAAGGAAGAAGGAAAGUCCCUGUUUGUGCACCAGGGAGGAUUUCUUGUGCGACUACGGCUAUUAUCGCCAUGACAUCACUUCUGAGUGUGUGCGACAGCCCGACGCUCACAACAAAACCUUGGAGACCUGCCUGGACGGACAGGAGGACGAGCUCUUCACGGCAGGGUAUCGGAAAGUCCCAAGCGACAGAUGCGAAGGAGGGUUUUCGCCUCAACUGGCAGUCCAGACCAUCAUAAGACCAUGCGGCAUCAAGCCCACCUCUAAUUCACCACCUGCAAGCUCCCCCUUGCCAGUUACCUAUUUUGACACACCUCGAGAGAGGAUGGUACUGAUACUGGUGUGCAGCGGCGCAGGCGUCAUCGUGCUGGCAGCAGUCGUCUUCGCGUUGGUAGCCGUCAAAAGAGGAGUCUACAGGAACAGCUCGGGUGUUUCAAAUCGCAGGGCACCGGAGUAUCGCUUCUCCAAUCUCCAGGGUCAAGAGGAUCGUAACGGUGUCACAGGGGACCUUGAAAGCGCCACAAGCACCAAUGGAACGCCCUGUCCACCGGACUCGGACAAUAAUCUUCUGCAGUGACGCACACCUUUUAGACCGUAACCAGUGCUGUGCUGAAUGGAGGGAUCUGUGAAUCUGGAACAGGCUCCCCCCUGCACAUCAAAUCAAGCACUUUCACAGCCCGCAGAGGCAGGAAAGCAACAGCGGCUCGUCUUGAAGACCCGUGAAAAUGGCUCCGCCCACACCAGAGGCCAUUGUGGAUGCACACUCAGCUCUUUGACCACGCCAGCAAGAAUUAACCAACCAGCUUUUCACGUUUCAAUUCCGUGGAGUCUAACGUGGCGUGCGUUAGAGACCGCUUCGCUCUUAAUAGAUGGCGACAGGUAUGGACGCCUGCACAACACGCUGCUCUACUUGUCUGCCUGGAGUUGCACUAGCAGGACUAACAGCGAGCCAUCGGGCUAAAUAGAGCCUGGAGACACUUUUCUGUCCAGUGCGAACACUUCUUGCUCGUGUUCUGGUGAGACAUGCUCCACAUUGGUAUUCAUGCACCCCCCCCCCGGCAUCUGCACAUGUGUUUGAAUACGGAAACGUAAUUGCACAUUGAGAGACUACUCUUUCACGUGAGUACAGUCGAUACGUUAAAGGCUGUAUUAUUGUAUUUUGUCAUUUAACAUACAAGUUUCUCACUACAAACAAUGUAUGUUUGGGUAAAGCGGGAUUGUCCAAAUGAUGGCGCAUGGGCCAACCACGGAUCAUAGCUGGGUUUUUUUUAAUGGCCCCGUACAUUAAAAAGAUACAUUUGAUCAUGAGAAAAGAGGAUAUAUUCCAUCCAUCCAUUUUCUAACGCUUGUCCCUUUCGGCGUCGCUGGAGCCUAAGCUGCAUAAUAAUACUAAUUAUGAACAAAAAAUACAAAUGUGUCUUUAAAUAUUCGGGAUCUGUUUUUUUAGCCUUUUUAUUGGACUAUUAAAUCUACUGACUUUAUUAAAUCCCCCCCGGCCCCCUCGCAACACUGUGCUUUACCUAACAUAAUGAAUUAUCAUGAUUAAUAUACCUGAUUUCAAUAUUGAUUAAAAACAUAAUCAUGUUUAUUAAUUUGGCCAUAAUCGUGCAGCCCUAUCUGAAAGACAGUCAUAGGAAAAAUACAAUAUCUUUAUUUAUUGAGAUACUUUCAAUUUUUUGCUUUAUUGGCUUGGAAAACCCCUUGAUUUGUACAAUAUUUGUAUUUUAAUAUUAAAAAGAAGUGAUGCUACUCUGCUUUUUAAUUGUUUUUUGUAUUAUUAGUGAUUCCCAGAGCCCAAAAAAAGUCAGCGGGCUAUAGAGCGUUUUCUAUUUGGGCUCCAGUACUAUGGAAUACCCUUGCGGUAACAGUUAGAGAUGCUACCUCAGUAGAAGCAUUUAAGUCCCAUCUUAAAACUCAUUUGUAUACUUUAGCCUUUAAAUAGACCCCCUUUUUAGACUAAUUGAUGUGCCGUUUCUUUUCUUUUCUCCUCUGCCCCCGUCUCUCUUGUGGAGGAGGGGGGUACACAUAGGUCCAGUGGCCAUGGAUGAAGUGCGGCUGUCCAGAGUCUGGACCCGGGGUGGACCGCUUGCCUGUGCAUCAGUUGGGGACAUCUCUGCGCUGCUGACUCGUCUCUGCUUGGGAUGGUUUCCUGCUGGCCCCACUAUGGACUGGACUCUCACUAUUAUGUUAGAUCCACUAUGGACUGGACUUUCACAAUACUAUGUCAGACCCACUCGACAUCCAUUGCUUUCGGUCUCCCCUAGAGAGGGGGGGGGUUACCCACAUAUGCGGUCC